rnacentral:rRNA from 1 species
AGAGUUUGAUCCUGGCUCAGAUUGAACGCUGGCGGCAGGCCUAACACAUGCAAGUCGAACGGUAACAUUUCUAGCUUGCUAGAAGAUGACGAGUGGCGGACGGGUGAGUAAUGCUUGGGAACUUGCCUUUGCGAGGGGGAUAACAGUUGGAAACGACUGCUAAUACCGCAUAACGUCUACGGACCAAACGGGGCUUAGGCUCCGGCGCAAAGAGAGGCCCAAGUGAGAUUAGCUAGUUGGUAAGGUAAUGGCUUACCAAGGCAACGAUCUCUAGCUGUUCUGAGAGGAAGAUCAGCCACACUGGAACUGAGACACGGUCCAGACUCCUACGGGAGGCAGCAGUGGGGAAUAUUGCACAAUGGGGGAAACCCCGAUGCAGCCAUGCCGCGUGUGUGAAGAAGGCCUUCGGGUUGUAAAGCACUUUCAGUUGUGAGGAAAAGUUAGUAGUUAAUACCUGCUAGCCGUGACGUUAACAACAGAAGAAGCACCGGCUAACUCCGUGCCAGCAGCCGCGGUAAUACGGAGGGUGCGAGCGUUAAUCGGAAUUACUGGGCGUAAGGCGCACGCAGGCGGUUUGUUAAGCUAGAUGUGAAAGCCCCGGGCUCAACCUGGGAUAGUCAUUUAGAACUGGCAGACUAGAGUCUUGGAGAGGGGAGUGGAAUUCCAGGUGUAGCGGUGAAAUGCGUAGAUAUCUGGAGGAACAUCAGUGGCGAAGG